AAGAGGAGGAGAGAGGGACACCCCCCCCCCCCCAGUCCUCGCCGCCUUCCACCCCUCCUCCAUCCCUCCGAGCACUCUCCCUCCCCGCCCCCUCCUCCCCCUAGACUCUCUCUCUCACACACAGAGUCCCCCGUCCCUUCCCCUGUUGCAAAGAAGGAUCCUAGAUCACCACCACAUCGGGGGCUUCGGGGAAGCUAGCCGUUUGCGAGUUGAUGCAAAGCGAGCUGAUGAGUUCGAGCAGCUCCCUCUUAAGACUUUGUCUUCUUGGACUCUUUUCUUCUUCUUCGCAGAACUGAUCGAGCCCCCAGAGAGGUCAAUCGCUCCUCAGAUUUGGGGAAAGAAGGCACAGAGAAGUAGAUCGGAAGAGGUGAUGGAAAGAAGAUAGAUUACUGCACUUCUGACCAACUUGGACAACUUGAGCCCGGAUAGCAAACUGGGAAGCUCUUUAGGAAAGUGGUUUCAUCUUCUUAAAUGUGAGGCAUCAAAACAAUACCGAAAGAAAACUUCAAUUUGACAUUAUUGAGAGACACACAGAGAGACACAGAGAAGCUCAGAGACAAAGAAACAGAUACAUAGAAAAGAUAAAGAAUAUGAACUUGAAAUGAAUCGUUAGGACUUUCAAGAUGCAAAUAUGAAGGAAGGGUAUCAUUGGGUUAAAGUUACUGUUCUACCUUUCAAGAGAAAUAGAAUAAAUGUUUAUUUUUUAAUAAA